GCUGGACGUUUUGGCACGCACGCCUGUAGUCCCAGCUACUCGGGAGGCUGAGGUGGGAGGAUCGCUUGAGCCCAGGAGUUCUGGGCUGUAGUGCGCUAUGCUGAUCGGGUGUCUGCACUAAGUUAGGCAUCAAUAUGGUGACUUCCCAGGAACAGGGGACCACCAGGUUGCCUAAGGAGGGGUGAACCAGCCCAGUCGGAAACAGAGCAGGUCAAAACUCUCAUGCUGAUCAAUAGUGGGAUCGCACCUGUGAAUAGCCACUGCACUCCAGCCUGGGCAACAUAGUGGGACCCGGUCUCU
rnacentral:SRP_RNA from 1 species